rnacentral:rRNA from 1 species
GUGGGGAAUAUUGGACAAUGGGCGAAAGCCUGAUCCAGCCAUGCCGCGUGUGUGAAGAAGGUCUUCGGAUUGUAAAGCACUUUAAGUUGGGAGGAAGGGCAGUAAGUUAAUACCUUGCUGUUUUGACGUUACCGACAGAAUAAGCACCGGCUAACUCUGUGCCAGCAGCCGCGGUAAUACAGAGGGUGCAAGCGUUAAUCGGAAUUACUGGGCGUAAAGCGCGCGUAGGUGGUUCGUUAAGUUGGAUGUGAAAGCCCCGGGCUCAACCUGGGAACUGCAUCCAAAACUGGCGAGCUAGAGUAUGGUAGAGGGUGGUGGAAUUUCCUGUGUAGCGGUGAAAUGCGUAGAUAUAGGAAGGAACACCAGUGGCGAAGGCGACCACCUGGACUGAUACUGACACUGAGGUGCGAAAGCGUGGGGAGCAAACAGGAUUAGAUACCCUAGUAGUCC